rnacentral:rRNA from 1 species
GACGAACGCUGGCGGCGCGCCUAACACAUGCAAGUCGAACGGAGCUUAGAGAGCUUGCUUUUUAAGCUUAGUGGCGAACGGGUGAGUAACGCGUGAGUAACCUGCCCUAGAGUGGGGGACAAUAGUUGGAAACGACUGCUAAUACCGCAUAAGCCCACGGUACCGCAUGGUACUGAGGGAAAAGGAUUUAUUCGCUUUAGGAUGGACUCGCGUCCAAUUAGCUAGUUGGUGAGGUAACGGCCCACCAAGGCGACGAUUGGUAGCCGGACUGAGAGGUUGAACGGCCACAUUGGGACUGAGACACGGCCCAGACUCCUACGGGAGGCAGCAGUGGGGGAUAUUGCACAAUGGGGGAAACCCUGAUGCAGCGACGCCGCGUGGAGGAAGAAGGUUUUCGGAUUGUAAACUCCUGUCGUUAGGGACGAUAAUGACGGU